AUGUUAAGGGAAUCGUACCCAAGUCUCCUGUUGACGUUGCUGGCUUCAUCCCCGUCAUGGGCCCAGCAGCUGCUGCAGUCUUAUCGCUCGAUUUCGUUGCUCGAAAUCCGCAGCUGGCUAUCGCGAGGAGGCCUCAGAAGAAACAGGAAAACUGGGGGGAAUCGCCGCCGCUACCACCGUGCACUCCCUCGCUCCGGUUAUCGCCGUCGCUCACUCGCGCGAGGCGGCCCCAAAGCUACAGAUAAGCGGGGAAUCAUCGCCACUGCCUCCGCGCACUCCCUCGCUCCGGCUGCCGCCGUCUCUCACUCACGCGAGGCGGCCUUGAAGUUACAGGUUAACUGGGGAACAUUGCCGCCUCCGUCGCUCGCUACUUGUAGGUUGUAG
rnacentral:rRNA from 1 species